GGUCCCGUAGCCCAAUUGGUAGAGGCACACGGUUUAGGUCCGUGCCAGUCCCGGUUCGAAUCCGGGCGGGGCCA
rnacentral:tRNA from 5 species